CAAGUCGAACGCGAAAGCUCCCUUCGGGGAGCAAGUAGAGUGGCGCACGGGUGAGUAACACGUAGGUAAUCUACCUUCGGAUGGGGAAUAACAACCGGAAACGGUUGCUAAUACCGCAUAAUGCAGCGGCACCUAAUGGUGACAGUUGUUAAAGCGGGGGAUCGUAAGACCUCGCGUCUGAAGAGGAGCCUGCGGCAGAUUAGCUAGUUGGUAAGGUAACGGCUUACCAAGGCGAUGAUCUGUAGCCGGCCUGAGAGGGCGGUCGGCCACACUGACACUGACAUACGGGUCAGACUCCUACGGGAGGCAGCAGUCGGGAAUUUUGGGCAAUGGGCGAAAGCCUGACCCAGCAACGCCGCGUGAAGGAUGAAAUCCCUCGGGAUGUAAACUUCGCAAGAACGGGAAGAAUAAGUGAGAGUUAAUAUCUCUCGCGAUGACGGUACCGUUUGUAAGCUCCGGCUAACUCCGUGCCAGCAGCCGCGGUAAUACGGGGGGAGCAAGCGUUGUUCGGAUUUACUGGGCGUAAAGGGCGCGUAGGCGGCCACCGCAAGUCGACUGUGAAAUCUCCGGGCUUAACCCGGAAAGGUCAGCCGAUACUGCGGGGCUAGAGUGCAGAAGGGGCAACUGGAAUUCUCGGUGUAGCGGUGAAAUGCGUAGAUAUCGAGAGGAACACCUGCGGCGAAGGCGGGUUGCUGGGCUGACACUGACGCUGAGGCGCGAAAGCUAGGGGAGCGAACGGGAUUAGAUACCCCGGUAGUCCUAGCCUUAAACGAUGAAUGCUUGGUGUCUGGGGUUUUAUAGUCCCCGGG
rnacentral:rRNA from 1 species